UCGCUUCAGGAUGAUGAAGUUGUCUCCUAUCUCCUCAUCGGCCUGAGUGAGGAAUACAAUCCACUGGUGACGUCAGUCACCACCAGAGCAAAUGCAUUGACAUUGAGCGAGGUGUACAACCACCUCCUCAGCUUCGAGA